UACGUAGGGUGCAAGCGUUGUCCGGAUUUAUUGGGCGUAAAGAGCGUGUAGGCGGCCAGAUAGGUCCGUUGUGAAAACUCGAGGCUCAACCUCGAGACGCCGAUGGAAACCAUCUGGCUAGAGUCCGGAAGAGGAGAGUGGAAUUCCUGGUGUAGCGGUGAAAUGCGCAGAUAUCAGGAAGAACACCCGUGGCUAAGGCGGCUCUCUAGUACGGUACUGACGCUGAGACGCGAAAGCGUGGGGAGCGAACAGG
rnacentral:rRNA from 1 species